rnacentral:lncRNA from 1 species
CUGAGGGAGAAACGACACCGAAGGAGCAAAGGUCAUAAAGUGCAGAAGGGGCCGGAGAUGGUGGCUGAUGGGGCUUUGGGGGAUGGGAAAUGGACGAUGGCUGCAAUAAUCUUUGGAUGGGAUCGCUCCGUUGCAAAGGGGAAGCGCUGCUCUGAGCUCUGCCUUAAUGCCUCUCUGUGCCAUUCCAGUGUGAGUUCAGCUCUGCUGCUCCCCAUGUCUGCAAUGUCUGCAGGGUCUUCCGUGCAUGCCGUGCUCCAAGCAUCAGAGUCACUGGGCAACGCCGUGCAGCAGCAGGGCGGGCUCUGCAAAGGGAAUUGCAUCUGAACAGCGUUGCAUCUGAAUAGCGCUGCACCUGCAGAGUGUUGCAUCUGAACAGCAUUGCAUCUGAACAGCACGGUACCUGCACAGUAUUGCAUCUGCACAGUGUUACAUCCAAACAGCGUUGCACCUGAGCAACACAGUGCCUGCACAGUGUUUGCAUCUGAACAGCACAGUAUCUGCACAGCGUUGCAUCUGAAUAGCAUUGCACCUGCACAGUGUUGCAUCUGAACAGCAUUGCACCUGCUCAGCAUUGCAUCUGAACAACACAGUACCUACACAGCGUUGCAUCUGAACAGAACAGCACCUGCAUAUCAUUGCAUCUGAACAGCAUUGCGACUGCGUGGCACUGCAUCUGAAUAGCACUGCGCCUGCACUGCUUUGCACCUGCACGGUGUUGCACCUGCACUGCUUUGCACCUGCACAGUAAUGGCAUUGCACUUGCACAGAAGGAGAGGGAGAGAAAGCAGCCCUGGGAUCGGGACCUGCUGCUCACAGGGCCCCGCAGGGCUGUGCCCUCACUGUUUGCCCACAUCCCACCGAAAUCCCACGGGAUCGAUGGGGGUCGGCCGGGUGCACCGCCCCGAGGCCAUGGGAUCGAUGAGGAGUGAAGGAAAUGCGGCCGAAGAUGCGCGGUUUUACAGCUUCCUCCCCAAGAACGGCCGUGCUUUAUGGACUGCUGGUAAUUGCCAAUUAAUUGCGCUGCAGCCGAGGGCAGGAAAGCAGCCCGCAUCCUCCAUACGGGGUGGGCAGGAUAUCAGAGUCCGAAGGUGUUACCACUCCUCCACUUAAUGAAGAAAAAUCACGAUGGAGGCGGCCGGAGGCAACGCAAUGGGAUUGCAGCGGGGAGGAGAGGACUGUGUUAACACCCAUUAAUAAUAAAUAACCGCCAUAAUGAGCUCUAAUUAAUUUGGUCACACGUUAGAGAUCGCUUCCUUCUUUUUUAAGCUUGUAGGUUUUUCUGUGCCGGAGCAUCCCUGCGCCCUGGCUGUUCCCAGCCCCUUCCAUUCAACGUGUGAUAGAUGGAUUGAUACGCAGCUUUAAUCAGUGUAAUAUAUAAAGC